rnacentral:misc_RNA from 1 species
GAUGAAGAACGCAGCGAAAUGCGAUAAGUAGUGUGAAUUGCAGAAUUCAGUGAAUCAUCGAAUCUUUGAACGCUCAUUGCGCCCCUUGGUAUUCCAUGGGGCAUGCCUGUUCGAGCGUCAUUUGUACCUUCAAGCUCUGCUUGGUGUUGGGUGUUUGUCUCGCCUCUGCGUGUAGACUCGCCUCAAAACAAUUGGCAGCCGGCGUAUUGAUUUCGGAGCGCAGUACAUCUCGCGCUUUGCACUCAUAACGACGACGUCCAAAAGUACAUUUUUACACUCUUGACCUCGGAUCAGGUAGGGAUACCCGCUGAACUUAAGCAUAUCAAUAAGCGGAGGA